rnacentral:pre_miRNA from 1 species
AAUAAACUAAUUUUUCACUUUUUACCUAUAAUUUUUGACUUUUGUUUUAUUAAAAAAAAUUUUACGAUUGAUAUUUUGGUUUUUAUUAGAUGAUAAAUCAUAAAUAGUACUUUACGUUUGACUAAUUUUUUCUAAUUUUUUGAAAUUUUUUUAAAUAAGAUGGAUGGUCAUACGUUAGACACGGAAAUCGGAG